AUUGAACGCUGGCGGCAUGCCUAACACAUGCAAAUCGAACGGUAACGACGGGAGCUUGCUCCCGGGCGACGAGUGGCGGACGGGUGAGUAACACUUAGGAAUCUGCCCAGUAGUGGGGGACAACCAGGAGAAAUCCUGGCUAAUACCGCAUACGCACUACGGUGGAAAGUGGGGGAUCUUCGGACCUCACGCUAUUGGAUGAGCCUAAGUCGGAUUAGCUUGUUGGUGAGGUAAAGGCUCACCAAGGCGACGAUCCGUAGCUGGUCUGAGAGGACGAUCAGCCACACUGGGACUGAGACACGGCCCAGACUCCUACGGGAGGCAGCAGUGGGGAAUAUUGGACAAUGGGCGCAAGCCUGAUCCAGCAAUGCCGCGUGUGUGAAGAAGGCCUGCGGGUUGUAAAGCACUUUCAGUAGAGAAGAAAAGCCUAGGGUUAAUACCCCUGAGUCUUGACGUAACCUACAGAAGAAGCACCGGCUAACUCCGUG
rnacentral:rRNA from 1 species